AUUGAACGCUGGUGGCAUGCCUAACACAUGCAAGUCGAGCGGAGCGGCGGACGGGUGAGUAAUGCCUAGGAAUCUGCCUGGUAGUGGGGGAUAACGUCCGGAAACGGGCGCUAAUACCGCAUACUAUCAGAUGAGCCUAGGUCGGAUUAGCUAGUGGGUGGGGUAAAGGCCUACCAAGGCGACGAUCCGUAACUGGUCGGAGAGGAUGAUCAGUCACACUGGAACUGAGAAACGGUCAAGACUCCUAGGGGAGGCAGAAGUGGGGAAUAUUGGACAAUGGGCGAAAGCCUGAUCAAGACAUGCCGCGGGUGUGAAGAAGGUCUUCGGAGUGUAAAGCACUUUAAGUUGGGAGGCGUUACCAACAGAAUAAGCACCGGCUAACUUCGUGCCAGCAGCCGCGGUAAUUC
rnacentral:rRNA from 1 species